rnacentral:rRNA from 1 species
GUGAGGAAUCUUCCACAAUGGGCGAAAGCCUGAUGGAGCAACGCCGCGUGAAGGAUGAAGGUCUUCGGAUUGUAAACUUCUUUUAUGAGUGAAGAAUAUGACGGUAACUCAUGAAUAAGCACCGGCUAACUACGUGCCAGCAGCCGCGGUCAUACGUAGGGUGCAAGCAUUAUCCGGAGUGACUGGGCGUAAAGAGUUGCGUAGGCGGUUAUGUAAGCGAAUAGUGAAACCUGGUGGCUCAACCACACAGACUAUUAUUCGAACUGCAUAACUCGAGAAUGGUAGAGGUAACUGGAAUUUCUUGUGUAGGAGUGAAAUCCGUAGAUAUAAGAAGGAACACCAAUGGCGUAGGCAGGUUACUGGGCCAUUUCUGACACUAAGGCACGAAAGCGUGGGGAGCGAACCGGAUUAGAAACCCGGGUAGUCC